UAACACGUGGGUAACCUGCCCAUCAGAAGGGGAUAACACUUGGAAACAGGUGCUAAUACCGUAUAACAAUCGAAACAGCAUGGUUUUGAUUUGAAGGGCGCUUUCGGGUGUCGCUGAUGGAUGGACCCGCGGUGCAUUAGCUAGUUGGUGAGGUAACGGCUCACCAAGGCCACGAUGCAUAGCCGACCUGAGAGGGUGAUCGGCCACAUUGGGACUGAGACACGGCCCAA
rnacentral:rRNA from 1 species